UACGAAGGGGGCUAGCGUUGUUCGGAAUUACUGGGCGUAAAGGGCGCGUAGGCGGCGUGUCAAGUCAGGCGUGAAAGCCCCGGGCUCAACCUGGGAACCGCGCUUGAGACUGGCAUGCUCGAGUUCGGGAGAGGAUGGUGGAAUUCCCAGUGUAGAGGUGAAAUUCGUAGAUAUUGGGAAGAACACCGAUGGCGAAGGCAGCCAUCUGGACCGACACUGACGCUGAGGCGCGAAAGCCAGGGGAGCGAACGGG
rnacentral:rRNA from 1 species